GAUGAACGCUGGCGGCGUGCCUAAUACAUGCAAGUCGAGCGAACAGAUGAGGAGCUUUCCUCCCUGACUUUAGCGGCGGACGGGUGUGUAACAUGUGGAUAACCCACCUCUAAGACGGGGAUAACUUCGGGAAACCGGAGCCAAUACCGGAUAAUAUAUUGAACCGCAUGGUUCAAUAGUGUAAGACGGCUUUGCUGUCACUGUUCGCUGGAUCCGCGCGGUAUUAGCUAGUUGGUAGGGUAACGGCUUACCAAGGCAACGAUUCGUAGCCGGUCUGAGAGGAUGAUCAGCCACACUGGAACUGAGACACGGCCCAGACUCCUACGGGAGGCAGCAGUAGGGAAUAUUGCACAAUGGGCGAAAGCCUGAUGCAGCAAGGCCGCGUGUAUGAAGAAGGCCUUCGGGUCGUAAAGCACUUUUAUCGGGGAGGAACAAAGUAGAGAUAAUCCCUGCACGUCUUGACGGUACCCACUCAAAAAGCACCGGCUAACUACGUG
rnacentral:rRNA from 1 species